GACGUAGGGCGCAAGCGUUGUCCGGAUUUCUUGGGCGUAAAGAGCUCGUAGGCGGCUUGUCGCGUCGACUGUGAAAACCCGUGGCUCAACCAUGUGGUCUGCAGUCGAUACGGGCAGGCUAGAAUUCGGUAGGGGAGACUGGAAUUCCUGGUGUAGCGGUGAAAUGCGCAGAUAUCAGGAGUAACACCGGUGGCGAAGGCGGGUCUCUGGGCCGAUAUUGACGCUGAGGAGCGAAAGCGUGGGGAGCGAACAGG
rnacentral:rRNA from 1 species